rnacentral:rRNA from 1 species
GAUGAACGCUGGCGGCGUGCUUAACACAUGCAAGUCGAACGAUGAAGGGGGAGCUUGCUCCUCUGGAUUAGUGGCGAACGGGUGAGUAACACGUGAGCAAUCUGCCCCUGACUCUGGGAUAAGCGUUGGAAACGACGUCUAAUACCGGAUACGAGCCGAGCAGGCAUCUGCAUCGGUUGGAAAGAACUUCGGUCAGGGAUGAGCUCGCGGCCUAUCAGCUAGUUGGUGAGGUAAUGGCUCACCAAGGCGACGACGGGUAGCCGGCCUGAGAGGGUGACCGGCCACACUGGGACUGAGACACGGCCCAGACUCCUACGGGAGGCAGCAGUGGGGAAUAUUGCACAAUGGGCGCAAGCCUGAUGCAGCAACGCCGCGUGAGGGACGACGGCCUUCGGGUUGUAAACCUCUUUUAGCAGGGAAGAAGCGAGAGUGACGGUACCUGCAGAAAAAGCACCGGCUAACUACGUGCCAGCCGCCGCAGUAA